UAAAGGGCGAGUAGGCGGGCUGGUAAGUUGGAAGUGAAAUGUCGGGGCUUAACCCNCGGAACUGCUUUCAAAACUGCUGGUCUUGAGUGAUGGAGAGGCAGGCGGAAUUCCUAGUGUAGCGGUGAAAUGCGUAGAUAUUAGGAGGAACACCAGUGGCGAAGGCGGCCUGCUGGACAUUAACUGACGCUGAGGAGCGAAAGCGUGGGGAGCAAACAGGAUUAGAUACCCUGGUAGUCCACGCCGUAAACGAUGGAUACUAGGUGUGGGAGGUAUUGACCCCUUCCGUGCCGCAGUUAACACAAUAAGUAUCCCACCUGGGGAGUACGACCGCAAGGUUGAAACUCAAAGGAAUUGACGGGGGCCCGCACAAGCAGUGGAGUAUGUGGUUUAAUUCGAAGCAACGCGAAGAACCUUACCUGGUCUUGACAUCCCGGUGACCGGCAUAGAGAUAUGCCUUUCCCUUCGGGGACAGCGGUGACAGGUGGUGCAUGGUUGUCGUCAGCUCGUGUCGUGAGAUGUUGGGUUAAGUCCCGCAACGAGCGCAACCCUUAUUGUUAGUUGCCAUCAUUCAGUUGGGCACUCUAGCGAGACUGCCGGUAAUAAACCGGAGGAAGGUGGGGAUGACGUCAAAUCAUCAUGCCCCUUAUGACCUGGGCUACACACGUGCUACAAUGGUUGGUACAACGAGUCGCAAGUCGGUGACGGCAAGCAAAUCUCUUAAAGCCAAUCUCAGUUCGGAUUGUAGGCUGCAACUCGCCUACAUGAAGUCGGAAUCGCUAGUAAUC
rnacentral:rRNA from 1 species